GCACGUAGUUAGCCGUGGCUUCCUCCUUUGGUACCGUCAUUAUCGUCCCAAAAGACAGAGCUUUACAACCCGAAGGCCUUCUUCACUCACGCGGCGUUGCUGCAUCAGGCUUUCGCCCAUUGUGCAAUAUUCCCCA
rnacentral:rRNA from 1 species